rnacentral:rRNA from 1 species
UGAGGGAUGACGGCCUUCGGGUUGUAAACCUCUUUCAGCAGGGAAGAAGCGAAAGUGACGGUACCUGCAGAAGAAGCGCCGGCUAACUACGUGCCAGCAGCCGCGGUAAUACGUAGGGCGCGAGCGUUGUCCGGAAUUAUUGGGCGUAAAGAGCUCGUAGGCGGCUUGUCACGUCGGUUGUGAAAGCCCGGGGCUUAACCCCGGGUCUGCAGUCGAUACGGGCAGGCUAGAGUUCGGUAGGGGAGAUCGGAAUUCCUGGUGUAGCGGUGAAAUGCGCAGAUAUCAGGAGGAACACCGGUGGCGAAGGCGGAUCUCUGGGCCGAUACUGACGCUGAGGAGCGAAAGCGUGGGGAGCGAACAGGAUUAGAUACCCUGGUAGUCCACGCCGUAAACGG